rnacentral:tRNA from 1 species
CGGUAGCUCAGCGGUAGAGCAACCCGCUGUUAACGGGUAGGUCACAGGUUCGAAUCCUGUCC